UCCAGGGUAGCCUAGUGGACAUGGCAUCUGCCCGGUAAGCGGAACACUGUGUGUUCGAAUCCCAUCCCUGGAC
rnacentral:tRNA from 1 species